rnacentral:rRNA from 1 species
GAUGACCGCUGGCGGCGUGCCUAAUACAGGCAAGUCGAGCGAACGGAUGAUAGGCAUGCUUCCCUUAUGUUAGCGGCGGGCGGGUGUGUAGCACGCGGCAACCCUACCUAUGAGACCGGGAUAACUUCGGGAAUCCGGAGCUAAUACCGUAUUAUAUUUUGAACCGUAUGGUUCACAAGGGAAAGUCGGUCUUGCUGGCUCUUAUUGAUGUAUCCGCGCUGCAUUAGCUAGCAGGUAAGUUAACGGCUUACCAAGGCAACGAUGCAUAGCCGACCUGAGAGGAGGUUCGGCCACGCUGGAACUGAGACACGCUCCAGCCUCCUACGGCAGGCAGCAGUAGGGACUCUUACGCGAUGGGCGAGAGCCUGACGGAGCAGCGCCGCGUGAGUGAUGAGGGUCUUGCGAUCGUAAUACUCUGUUAUGAGGGAAGACCAGAUGUGUAAGUAACUGUGCACAUCUUGACGGUACCUAAUCAGAAAGCCACGGCUAACUCCUUG